CGCUGGCGGCGCACAUAAGACAUGCAAGUCGAACGGAAGUCGUUAAAAAUGGAUUGAAGAUUAUCAGAUUGAAAUUUUAACAAUGGCUUAGUGGCGGACUGGUGAGUAACACGUAAGCAACCUGCCUAUUAGAGGGGAAUAACAGUGAGAAAUCAUUGCUAAUACCGCAUAAGCUGAUAAUAUCGCAUGAUAUAGUCAGAAAAGGAGCAAUCCGCUAAUAGAUGGGCUUGCGGCUGAUUAGCUAGUUGGUGGGGUAACGGCCUACCAAGGCGACGAUCAGUAGCCGAGUUGAGAGACUCUACGGCCACAUUGGGACUGAGAUACGGCCCAGACUCCUACGGGAGGCAGCAGUCGGGAAUAUUGCGCAAUGGAGGAAACUCUGACGCAGUGACGCCGCGUAUAGGAUGAAGGUUUUCGGAUUGUAAACUAUUGUCGUUAGGGAAGAAAUUUGACAGUACCUAAGGAGGAAGCUCCGGCUAACUAUGUGCCAGCCGCCGC
rnacentral:rRNA from 1 species